rnacentral:rRNA from 1 species
CCUACGGGGGGCAGCAGUAGGGAAUCUUCCACAAUGGGCGGAAGCCUGAACCAGCCAAGUCGCGUGAGGGAAUAAGGCCCUACGGGUCGUAAACCUCUUUUGCCGGGGAGCAAGGGCGGGGACGUGUCCCGGCCCGGAGAGUACCCGGAGAAAAAGCAUCGGCUAACUCCGUGCCAGCAGCCGCGGUAAUACGGAGGAUGCGAGCGUUAUUCGGAUUGAUUGGGUGUAAAGGGUGCGUAGGCGGGUUUUUAAGUCGGCUGUAAAAAUUGGGGGCUCAACAGGAAGAGGCCAUUGAAACUGGGCAGUAGGGAGUACAUGUGAGGGAGGCGGAAGGCGUGGUGGAGCAGUGAAAUG